CCUACGGGUGGCAGCAGUGAGGAAUAUUGGUCAAUGGACGAGAGUCUGAACCAGCCAAGUAGCGUGAAGGAUGACUGCCCUAUGGGUUGUAAACUUCUUUUAUAUGGGAAUAAAAUGUUCCACGUGUGGGAUUUUGUAUGUACCAUAUGAAUAAGGAUCGGCUAACUCCGUGCCAGCAGCCGCGGUAAUACGGAGGAUCCGAGCGUUAUCCGGAUUUAUUGGGUUUAAAGGGAGCGUAGGUGGAUUGUUAAGUCAGUUGUGAAAGUUUGCGGCUCAACCGGAAAAUUGCAGUUGAUACUGGCAGUCUUGAGUACAGUAGAGGUGGGCGGAAUUCGUGGUGUAGCGGUGAAAUGCUUAGAUAUCACGAAGAACUCCGAUUGCGAAGGCAGUUCACUGGACUGCAACUGACACUGAGGCUCGAAAGUGUGGGUAUCAAACAGGAUUAGAUACCCUAGUAGUC
rnacentral:rRNA from 1 species